UUGAACGCUGGCGGCGUGCCUAAUCCAUGCAAGUCGAGCGAACAGACGAGGAGCUUGCUCCUCUGACGUUAGCGGCGGACGGGUGAGUAACACGUGGAUAACCUACCUAUAAGACUGGGAUAACUUCGGGAAACCGGAGCUAAUACCGGAUAAUAUAUUGAACCGCAUGGUUCAAUAGUGAAAGACGGUUUUGCUGUCACUUAUAGAUGGAUCCGCGCCGCAUUAGCUAGUUGGUAAGGUAACGGCUUACCAAGGCAACGAUGCGUAGCCGACCUGAGAGGGUGAUCGGCCACACUGGAACUGAGACACGGUCCAGACUCCUACGGGAGGCAGCAGUAGGGAAUCUUCCGCAAUGGGCGAAAGCUUGACGGAGCAACGCCGCGUGAGUGAUGAAGGUCUUCGGAUCGUAAAACUCUGUUAUUAGGGAAGAACAAAUGUGUAAGUAACUAUGCACGUCUUGACGGUACCUAAUCGGAAAGCCACGGCUAACUACGUG
rnacentral:rRNA from 1 species